GACGAACCGUCCAAACGUUAUUCGGAAUCACUGGGCUUAAAGGGUGCGUAGGCGUCCGGCAAGUUGGGUGUGAAAUCCCUCGGCUUAACCGAGGAACUGCGCUCAAAACUGCCGGACUCGAGGGAGACAGAGGCGAGCGGAACUUGCGGUGGAGCGGUGAAAUGCGUUGAUAUCGCAAGGAACACCAGUAGCGAAGGCGGCUCGCUGGGUCUCUUCUGACGCUCAGGCACGAAAGCCAGGGGAGCGAACGGGAUUAGAUACCCCAGUA
rnacentral:rRNA from 1 species